AUUGAACGCUGGCGGCAGGCUUAACACAUGCAAGUCGAGCGGGCGAGGUUGCUUCGGUAACUGAGCUAGCGGCGGACGGGUGAGUAAAGCUUAGGAAUCUGCCUAUUAGUGGGGGACAACAUUUCGAAAGGGAUGCUAAUACCGCAUACGUCCUACGGGAGAAAGCAGGGGACCUUCGGGCCUUGCGCUAAUAGAUGAGCCUAAGUCGGAUUAGCUAGUUGGUGGGGUAAAGGCCUACCAAGGCGACGAUCUGUAGCGGGUCUGAGAGGAUGAUUCGCCGCACUGGGACUGAGACACGGCCCAGACUCCUACGGGAGGCAGCAGUGAGGAAUAUUGGACAAUGGGGGGAAUCCUGAUCCAGCGAUGCCGCGUGUGUGAAGAAGGCCUUUUGGUUGUAAAGCACUUUAAGUGGGGAGGAGGCUCUCUUGGUUAAUACCUGAGAAGAGUGGACGUUACCCACAGAAUAAGCACCGGCUAACUCUGUGCCAGCCGCCGCGGUAAAAC
rnacentral:rRNA from 1 species